rnacentral:rRNA from 1 species
UACGUAGGGUGCAAGCGUUUAGAGCGGAAUUACUGGGCGUAAAGCGUGCGCAGGCGGUGAUGUAAGACAGUUGUGAAAUCCCCGGGCUCAACCUGGGAACUGCAUCUGUGACUGCAUCGCUGGAGUGCGGCAGAGGGGGAUGGAAUUCCGCGUGUAGCAGUGAAAUGCGUAGAUAUGCGGAGGAACACCGAUGGCGAAGGCAAUCCCCUGGGCCUGCACUGACGCUCAUGCACGAAAGCGUGGGGAGCAAACAGG